CUGCCCAGUGACGCAAGUUAAACGGCCGCGGAACCCUAACCGUGCAAAGGUAGCAUAAUCACUUGCCUAUUAAUUGUAGGCUAGAAUGAACGGAUAAACGAAAUAAAGACUGUCUCAGUCAGUAAACUAAAAAUUAACAUAUGCAUGAAGAGUUGCAAAUAAAGUCGAAGGACAAGAAGACCCUAUAGAGCUUUAUUUUAAACAUGGACACUAACUAUAUAUAAAAUUCGGUUGGGGCGACCAAGGACAUAUUAAAAAACACCCUAAAAAAUAAUGAUAAAUAAAUCUAUAAAUUGACCCUUCCAAAAGAUCAUAAGAACAAGCUACCUUAGGGAUAACAGGCUAAUCCUAUUUAAGAGUUCAUAUCUACAAUAGGGUUUGGCACCUCGAUGUUGGCUUAGGGUAUCAAUAUAGCGCAAAAGUUAUAUAAAGAUGGUUUGUUCAACCAAUAAUUCCCU
rnacentral:rRNA from 1 species